rnacentral:rRNA from 1 species
GUGGGGAAUAUUCCGCAAUGGACGAAAGUCUGACGGAGCAACGCCGCGUGAGUGAUGAAGGUUUUCGGACUGUAAAGCUCUGUUGUUUAGGACGAAAGUGCCUGUUGCAAAUAGUUACAGGUAUUGACGGUACUGAACGAGGAAGCCACGGCUAACUACGUGCCAGCAGCCGCGGUAAUACGUAGGUGGCAAGCGUUGUCCGGAAUUAUUGGGCGUAAAGAGCAUGUAGGCGGGAAUCUAAGUCUGUUGUGAAAAUGCGGGGCUCAACCCCGUAGUGCGAUGGAAACUGGGUUUCUUGAGUGCAGGAGAGGAAAGGGGAAUUCCCAGUGUAGCGGUGAAAUGCGUAGAUAUUGGGAGGAACACCAGUGGCGAAGGCGCCUUUCUGGACUGUGUCUGACGCUGAGAUGCGAAAGCCAGGGUAGCGAACGGGAUUAGAAACCCGAGUAGUCC